CUAUUAUAGCGGGCAGGCGCGCCUCAGCAGCAUCUCUGUGGCGGCGGCGCUGGCUAGCCGGCCGGUCGUUUGGCCGACUGGCGUUGCUUGGCAGUCAGCCAGGCUCCGUGGCUUAUCCUGCAUCCUGGCCUCGUGCAGUUGUCCAACAGCAGCCGGUGUUGGCAGUAGUACAUCAGCUUGUCGUCGUCGCUGACACAUUGAUAAAUAAAUCUUAAUCAACUUCAAAAUUACUAUUCAGUCACCGCCAGAGCAAGUAACAUUUGAGGAUGCAACAACAACUAACUAACUAACAAGAUUUGCGCAGCGUCAUAUUAAUUCCACAUAAAAGCAAAAUGUCGUCGCAAUGCUAACUAACUGGUGCGCCUUAGCAUCGUAGCCAGAUAUGUUAUAAUCCAAGUGUCAGUUGUUUAAUUUACCGCGUACGUUUCGGCCGUCCAACGCUCCGCUUGUACAACAACACUAACUUAGCUUUUGCUAACUGCAAAUGAUUUAUGGCCAAGAGACAAUGAAACCGAAUCGCCGUAUACAAAAGUGCCGCUAACACUGGUCUCACAUGCAUUUAUUGCAUAUAACAUCGCAUAACGGUUCUUGUUGUCAUUUGUCGUUUGGUGCGUUCGAGUUUUCAUUUGGUUAGGUUUUCGGCUGCUUUUCCGUUUGUUGUGUGUUGCCGACUUGUUGGUUGGCGCCUGUCAGUGUUUUCGACUGCCCGACAGACAGACGCUCGCAUGCGCUCGCAUGUACAUAAAUACUUGUAUGUACGUAUAUAGACACGCGUGUGUGUGGCAACGUGCAACAUGCUGUAAUUUCCGUGUUUAGAACUGUGUCGGUGUUGCCGCUACUUUUGUUGUUGUUAUACUUAUUGUCGCCGUUGUGCAAAAACUCUACUCAAGUGUGGCAAACAGAUCGGUGAAUGUUGGUAAAUUCCUGUAAAUCAAAAUGUUGCACAUGCGAGUGAACGAGUACGUAGAAAUAGACAUGCAAGUGGGCACUUGCAAUUGGGCGUAAUCGUGGAGAAAAAAUCGGGAAUGGCGAGAAAACAGAUUUUUCGAACCGUCAAAAAGAAUCCAAAAAGCAGAUGAUUUUUUAAAGAAACAGUCUUCAAAAACGAAACACUCAUUUGUCCGCCGUACAAUAGGUGAUAAAGUUAAAGGAGCAAUUGUUUAAUACAAAGUGGAAAAUUCAAAUUCUAAGGCUCCAACACAAAAAAUUGAGCAUUAUGGCACACCAACAAACUUGACCUGCAAUCUCUAUAUCCACCUCUAAGAGUCUUUGAAAGUUUAUUACAUCGAUGCAAAGGAUCACUGGAGAAAAUACACGACCGAAAUGCUACGGAUGAAAGCGCCUGAGGAGAACAUGGAAGAACUCAGAUUCAAUAGGUUGCCAUGCAUGAGCAGAACACAGACAGCCAUUGGCCUUAUCGAGCUGUGUGGCAAGUAGUUACAUGAGGCUGCAACAUACGGUGGCAAAGCCGAUGGCGGAGACGGCGCCUGGAAGACACGGAAACAUGCCGCUAAAACGCUGCUGUUGAUUAAUGAUGUUGGAGUUCUGUCCAUUAAAUGUUGUUCUAAGAUGGUUUUGGCAUGACUAACAACUGAUUACGAGUGAGAUGCGAGCAGCAACGAGUGUGAGUGCUGAUGACAACAAGCGAAAUUGAUGGAUGCAAAGUAACAAAGUAACGAUUAUAUUGCAAACAUAUCGAUAGCAGGUGAGUGGAUAAUUUUAGCCAAGCUAAUAUAAUAUCUUGCGCAUACAUAUCUAUUUACAUAUGUACAUAUUAAGUGUUAUGUAUACAGUAUUUAUAUGCAAUUACAUGUACGCUCAGCUGCGAGUGCGAAUGCUUUAGCCGGCUGGAAGAGGGAUUCUUAUUGGAAUAUUUGUUGGGUUUGCUGAAAACUAUGAAAUAAGUUUGUAUAUUUUUAACAAAAUUUUUGUAAAAAUCACUCUAGGAUGUUGAAAGACUAAAUUUCAAGGGCAAAAAUGAGAUAACAUAUAUCUAUACAUAAUUUAAAUAUGCGCUUUUAAUUGUAAUGAGCUUAGUGAAAAUAAUUUAUUUAAGUUUUUUAUGGUUUAUUUUAUUUCAUUUUGAAAAAAAAAACUAACGUUAUUUAAAUUUUUUUAUUUUUUUUUAUAUUUAGCUUUAACUUUUUUUUAUAAAAUAUUUUUUUAAUAAAAAAAAAUUUUAAUCAAAAGUUAAUGCAAUACAUGCUACAAACAGGAACUUUUCAAAAUAAUUUUCAAUUUCAUAUAAUGUUUGUAAGUUUUUGUACACUAUUUAAAUUUUUUAAAUAUUUUUUAUUUGUUUUAUUGUGUUUUAAUUUUUUAAAUUUUAUUUAAAUUGUUUUUAUGUUUUUUACUAUUUCAAAGUUCAUUUUAAUUUUUUUUAUAAAUAAUUUUUUAAUAAAAAAAUUUAAUACCAAUUACAAGACAUAAAAUGUUUAAUUAAAAAAAAGUCAACCAUAUAUACAUAUGUAGAGACGCUCAAUGUUAAUAA